rnacentral:rRNA from 1 species
GGCAAAAGCUCAAAUUUGAAAUCUGGCGUCUUCGACGUCCGAGUUGUAAUUUGAAGAAGGCGACUUUGUAGCUGGUCCUUGUCUAUGUUCCUUGGAACAGGACGUCAUAGAGGGUGAGAAUCCCGUGUGGCGAGGAUCCCAGUUAUUUGUAAAGUGCUUUCGACGAGUCGAGUUGUUUGGGAAUGCAGCUCUAAGUGGGUGGUAAAUUCCAUCUAAAGCUAAAUAUUGGCGAGAGACCGAUAGCGAACAAGUACAGUGAUGGAAAGAUGAAAAGAACUUUGAAAAGAGAGUGAAAAAGUACGUGAAAUUGUUGAAAGGGAAGGGCAUUUGAUCAGACAUGGCGUUUGCUUCGGCUUUCGCUGGGCCAGCAUCAGUUUUAGCGGUUGGAUAAAUCCUCGGGAAUGUGGCUCUGCUUCGGUAGAGUGUUAUAGCCCGUGGGAAUACAGCCAGCUGGGACUGAGGAUUGCGACUUUUGUCAAGGAUGCUGGCGUAAUGGUUAAAUGCCGCCCGUCUUGAA